CAUGAUGAUCUGAAGGACACAGUCUUGGCAGAAGAAGGUGUAUAUACAAAGUCGCCUGUGCCAAGGAAGUGCUGGGAUAGCCACCACAGGGUGUCUUCCUCUCUCCUGAAGGGCUAAAGGUCUGGAUGCACUCACAACACCUGCACCUGGAGGUUCCCUUCAAGUCUCCACUACUGUUAGAGAAGAUCUUUAUGCAAAGCUCAAACAUGAGGCCUGAGAUUCAACAGCACCACGUAAUAGAUUUGGAACAAACAGAGCCUUCCAGUGACCACCAAACAAUGAAAAAAGCUUCAGAGAGGCAGAGACAUCCCUAACUGUGGCUGAAACAACACUGAUAAGUAAUAUCUCAGCUCCUCCUUCCACCGACACGCCAUGAAACCUACUCCAAGUUGGAAGACAAGUUGCUCAGAGUCAAGAUUUCCACUGAAAACGUAGUAGCAGCUGUUUUCAGUCAGUGCCAGCCCAGAGUGGCUUCCAGCACUCAGCAACAAGAUGAUGGCAAGAGACUUUGUGGACAAAUUUGUAUUCAAUCAGAAAGAUGACAAUCAUCAUUGUACUUAAGAUAUUAUUAGCUGUGUCUGUGACAGUGCACAUCUAUAAUCCAAGCACUUGGGAGGCUGAGGCAGGAGAAUCAUAAAGUUAAGGUCAGCCUGGACUACACAGUGGGAC